UACGGAGGGGACUAGCGUUGUUCGGAAUUACUGGACGUAAAGCGCGCGUAAGCGGAUUAGUAAGUCAGAGGUGAAAUCCCAGGGCUCAACCUUGGAACUGCCUUUGAUACCGCUAGUCUUAAGUUCGAGAGAGGUGAGUGGAAUUCCGAGUGUAGAGGUGAAAUUCGUAGAUAUUCGGAGGAACACCAGUGGCGAAGGCGGCUCACUGGCUCGAUACUGACGCUGAGGUGCGAAAGUGUGGGGAGCAAACAGG
rnacentral:misc_RNA from 1 species